rnacentral:rRNA from 1 species
AUUGAACGCUGGCGGCAUGCCUAACACAUGCAAGUCGAACGGCAGCACGGCAGUAGCAAUACUGUGGGUGGCGAGUGGCGGACGGGUGAGGAAUACGUCGGAAUCUGCCCAGUCGUGGGGGAUAACUAGCCGAAAGGUUAGCUAAUACCGCAUACGACCGAGAGGUGAAAGCGGGGGACCGCAAGGCCUCGCGCGAUUGGAUGAGCCGACGUCGGAUUAGCUAGUUGGUGGGGUAAAGGCCCACCAAGGCGACGAUCCGUAGCUGGUCUGAGAGGAUGAUCAGCCACACUGGAACUGAGACACGGUCCAGACUCCUACGGGAGGCAGCAGUGGGGAAUAUUGGACAAUGGGCGCAAGCCUGAUCCAGCAAUGCCGCGUGUGUGAAGAAGGCCUUCGGGUUGUAAAGCACUUUUAUCAGGAACGAAAAGCGUUGGAUUAAUACUCUGACGUGCUGACGGUACCUGAGGAAUAAGCACCGGCUAACUUCGUGCCAGCAGCCGCAGUAA